rnacentral:rRNA from 1 species
CGGAUUGCAGGCUGCAACUCGCCUGCAUGAAGUCGGAAUUGCUAGUAAUCGCGGAUCAGCAUGCCGCGGUGAAUACGUUCUCGGGCCUUGUACACACCGCCCGUCACACCAUGGGAGUCGGUAACACCCGAAGUCUGUAGCCUGACGCAAGAGGGCGCAGCCGAAGGUGGGAUUGAUGACUGGGGUGAAGUCGUAACAAGGUACC